GCAUGGGUUUGGAUUUAUGGCAGGCUCGUUCCCCUAGGCCUCUCAUAGUGUCCCAUGCCAGAGCAAACUGGCCCAAACCAUUGCCCGGUCUCUGCCUGUGGGCUGCUGGCACUAAAGCAGGUUGCACAGAG
ensembl:snoRNA SNORA80B small nucleolar RNA, H/ACA box 80B